CAGUAGCCGCGGUAAUACGUAGGUCCCGAGCGUUGUCCGGAUUUAUUGGGCGUAAAGCGAGCGCAGGCGGUUAGAUAAGUCUGAAGUUAAAGGCUGUGGCUUAACCAUAGUACGCUUUGGAAACUGUUUAACUUGAGUGCAAGAGGGGAGAGUGGAAUUCCAUGUGUAGCGGUGAAAUGCGUAGAUAUAUGGAGGAACACCGGUGGCGAAAGCGGCUCUCUGGCUUGUAACUGACGCUGAGGCUCGAAAGCGUGGGGAGCAAACAGGAUUAGAUACCCCAGUAGUCCAUGUCUCUUAUACA
rnacentral:rRNA from 1 species